CGUUCAUGGAGGAGACCAAGGUGCAGCGUGAGAUGAAUACACACUUCUUUAAUGAAGACGAAGAGACACUAAACAAACUUACAAAACAAUAAACCGAACGUGACGCUAUAAUACAGACAACUAGACAUAGACAUAGAUAAUCACCCACGAAAUACUCAAGGAAUAUGGCCUCCUAAAUAUGGUUCCCAAUCAGAGACAAUAAUAAACAGCUGCCUCUAAUUGAGAACCAAUCUAGGCAACCAUAGACAUACAAAAAACCCUAGACAGGACAAAAACAUAUAAUCACCCAAUUAUAAAGAAAACAAAGAAUACUAAGGUCAGGGCGUGACACCCAGAGUCUGCAACACCACCAAGCAAGCGGCACUAUGAAGACCAAGGAGCUCUACAAACAGGUCGGGGACAAAGAUGUGGAGAAGUACAUAUCGGCGUUGGGUUAUAACAAAAUAUCCGAAACUUUGAACAUCCCACACAGCACCAUUAAAUCCAUUAUUAAAAAAUUGAAAGAAUAUGGCACCACAACAAACCUGUCAAGAGAGGACCACCCACCAAAACUCACAGACCAGGCAAUGAGGGCAUUAAUCAGAGAGGCAACAAAGAGACCAAAGAUAACCCUGAAGGAGCUGUAAAGCUGCACAGCAGAGAUUAGAGUAUCUAUCCAUAGGACCACUUUAAGCAGUACACUCCACAGAGCUGGGCUUUACGGAAGAGUGGCCAGAAAAAAAGCCAUUGCUUAAAGAAAGAAAUAAGCAAACACAGUUGCUGUUAGCCAAAAGGCAUGUGGGAGACUAAAAUUUAGCUUUUUGGACAUCAAGGAAAAUGCUAUGUCUGGCGCAAACCCAACACCUCGUCACCCUAGAACACUAUCCAUGCUGUGGGGAUGUUUUUCAUCAGCAGGGACUGGGAAACUGGUCAGAAUUGAAUGAAUGAUGGAUGGCGAUAAAUACAGGGAAAUUCUUGAGGGAAACCUGUUUCAGUCUUCCAGAGAUUUGAGACUGGGACGGAGGUUCACCUUCCAGCAGGACAAUGACCCUAAGCUGCUAAAGCAACACACAAGUGGUUUAAGGGGAAACAUUUAAAUAUCUUGGAAUGGCCUAGUCAAAGCCCAGACCUCAAUCCAAUUGAGAAUCUGUGGUAUGACUUAAAGAUUGCUGUACACCAGCGGAACCCAUCCAACUUGAAAGAAUUGGAGCAGUUUUGCCUUGAAGAAUGGGCAAAAAUCCCAGUGGCUAGAUGUGUCAAGCUUAUAGAGACAUACCCCAAGAGACUUGCAGCUGUAAUUGCUGCAAAAGGUGGCUCUACAAAGCAUUGACUUUGGGGGGAUGAAUAGUUAUGCACACUCAAGUUUUUUUGUCUUAUUUCUUAUUUGUUUCACAAGAAAAUAUAUUUGUAUCUUCAAAGUGAUAGCCAUGUUGUGUAAAUCAAAUUAUACAGAUCCCCCCCCAAAAAAUAUAUUUUAAUUCCAGGUUGUAAGGCAACAAUAUAGGGAAAAUGCCAAGGGGGGUGAAUACUUUCACAAGCCACUGUGUGUGUCGAGUGGAGUCCAAUGUGUGCAUUUUGAUAAAUCCCCUGUAUUGACUAUAUGUUGAAUAUGUGUUUGUUGCAAAAUGAGAGGAUGGUAUCACUUUAAUCACAGUACAGGCAAACAUUACGUCAAUAACAAUAAACAGAUUGACGAAUAACACUUAGGUGAUAAAAUAAUAAUAAACUGAUUCUCAAAUAACACUUAGGUGAUAAAAUAAUAAUAAACUGAUUCUCAAAUAACACUUAGGUGAUAAAAUAAUAAUAAACUGAUUCUCAAAUAACACUUAGGUGAUAAAAUAAUAAUAAACUGAUUCUCAAAUAACACUUAGGUGAUAAAAUAAUAAUAAACUGAUUCUCAAAUAACACUUAGGUGAUAAAAUAAUAAUAAACUGAUUCUCAAAUAACACUUAGGUGAUAAAAUAAUAAUAAACUGAUUCUCAAAUAACACUUAGGUGAUAAAAUAAUAAUAAACUGAUUCUCAAAUAACACUUAGGUGAUAAAAUAAUAAUAAACUGAUUCUCAAAUAACACUUAGGUGAUAAAAUAAUAAUAAACUGAUUCUCAAAUAACACUUAGGUGAUAAAAUAAUAAUAAACUGAUUCUCAAAUAACACUUAGGUGAUAAAAUAACAAACAGAUUAUUGAAUAACAAGCUAGUCACCUUGCUUUUCAAACACAAACACAUUCACACACUUGCUCACUUGCUCACUCACUCACUCACUCACUCACUCACUCACUCACUCACUCACUCACUCACUCACUCACUCACUCACUCACUCACACUUAAAGGAUCACCAGACCCUCCUCCUCUU